CUGGAUCACCUCCUUAAAGGGAGACCUAAUUCAGGUAGGAGACGAAAAAAAAGUAGUCCCUACCAAGAAUCAAUCCCAAAAGGUCGGAGCGAGGCAAAAUUGGCUUUCAAACUAGGUUCUGGGUUCACACAAGACCUGAAUCAGGAACAAGGGCUAUUAGCUCAGGUGGUUAGAGCGCACCCCUGAUAAGGGUGAGGUCCCUGGUUCGAGUCCAGGAUGGCCCACCUGCACAGGUGGCAAAAACAAAGAAAAGAAGCGAGGAAUCAGCACCUUAUCUUACUUAUAUAGUAAGAGAGAAUGCUGGCUCUGAGUACAGAGUCCAGAGGAACCUUGAAAACUGCAUAGAGCUAGGUGAAAAAGCCAAAAAAGAAGACCGCAAGGUCAAGCUAAUAAGGGCA
rnacentral:tRNA from 1 species